AGAAGAUGGAGGAUGAUUAUUUGUUUGUCACCCAGGUGUAUUUGCUGCUUCACUCAUCUUUACGACGCUUUUCAUACUGGAGAUAUACCUUUCACAUCUUGACUAAAAAGCCAAAAGGAGACAAUUUAACACAUGCUCCAGCACCCCCCGCCAUCCCACAAAAGGGACAAGCGGUAGAAAAUGGAUGGAUGUCUUUGUUAGCUGGCGCUGCAGGCUACCUCCAGCUCAUUGAGGACGACAUAAGAAGUGCUGGAUAGAAGAAAGGACUGGAGUGGAGGACUGCCAACAACAACAAGAAGUGUACUUUAACAGAGGGGAGCCAAAAAGUCCAUACAGCUUGCUGAGAGAAAGGAGGACAGCACAUCUCUCUGGCGUUAUCUUUGGAGCUUGGAGGUCUUUGCUCUACUUUUGUGACCGCCUGGCAAACUCAAGAUUGUCUGAUGAAGACCAGAAGCAUUCAGCUUCCGAUGUCACAUUUUUAACCAAGGCCAGCAGCGGUCGCCACCGUGUGAUGCUACAUGCUAAACGAGCGGAGAGUACCAGCCUGUGCUGAAAGAUACAAACAUCCCAGUGAGAGCAGACAUUGUACACGCACUUCUGCACAUUUCUAUCCUGGCAGAGUGGAAAGGAACAUAACGAUCCUGCGGGGACGCCACCAGCACCAGGUUCUUGAAGAACUGCAGACCUGACACACACACACCAGAAGUUGGGGAUGGUGAGAAGAAAGCUGACCUGGUUUCUGGCUGAGGAGAUAGAGGAAGGUGUGACGAGGGUCCAGGUGGUCUCUGAAGGCACAGCGGGCUCAGACAAACGAUAGCCUGGUCCAAGAUGGAGGCCAGGAGGCGGAGCAUGCAGCAGAUUGGAGAGGUGGGGCAUGGCAGGAGAGACACUACAGCCAUCAGAGUCAGGUGCGUACACAACACAACUGUACGCUAGCCCUGCAUCUUCUGCUGCAGCAUUAAAAGGGCGAGGGAAGGGUGAUGGUGGCAGAAGAAGGAGAAGGAGCAUGCGACAACAACCACCACCAGACCUGGAAGCUGAUAAGUUCCCACAACAAGCAGGACAAGUGGGCGUGAUGGAAAUUGUUGUGACAGACAGGCAAGUAGACUUGAUGUGCAUUAAAAUAAUAAACGU